rnacentral:sRNA from 1 species
AAUCUGAACGACAGUCCAGCGCGCAAACCGCACGACCAAAAAAUGUUAAGAAAUUACCAGAGAAAAACACAAGGCUCGUAUGGACAACAUUCUUGACAGGAGCUUUAAAAGCUAUCGCUGAUGGGAUGCCACUUAACAAUGUCUCCGAAAAAAUUACAUUUAUAAUUAUUAAAAAUUUCACUUAUACUUUUUAAA